GCAGGUUCAAAUGGAGAAGGAAUAAAGUUUGAGGACAUAUGAGAGAAAAAAUUAAGAUAGGCGGGGAGGGCAGAGAAAGAGGGCGACAGAGGAUCCGAAGUGGGCUCUGCACUGACAGCAAGCAAUGAGGGACUCAAACUUACAAACUGCAAGAUCAUGACCUGAGCCAAAGUCAGACGCUCAAAGGACUGAGCCACCCAAGUGCCCUUCCCAGUGUCCUCUUAAUGAAAGGAAAACUUCAGUUCCAGGAAUAAGUGUGCUUCUAAGAACCUUCUUAAUCUUAAAGACACAAUAAACAAUAUAAUGAUCCUA